UUUUAAAAAGUUGUAAAGACUUUUCAAGAGUUUUUUCAGAGAAUCAUUUCCACAAGGGCAAUAAAUGUACAGUAAAAUAAAAUAUCGUACGACAUGUAAAGUCCCUUAAAUUUCAAGUUUAAAACUUUUACUAGUGAGUUAUGAGAAAAUCCCAUACAAUUUGUAUGAAAAUUUGUGAGGAAUCAACAUGGAUGGUACCUGAAGUCGAAAUUUAGAAAUUAAUUGCUUUAAAGUACGCGUAUAUAAAACCUCAUGCCAAAUAAGCGUGAUAAUUUGUUUUAAGCGCAAGUCAAUUUUGCGUCAAAAAAUCAGCAAUUAAAUCUAACCUGCGUGGGCUUAUUUUAUCUACAGAAGUUUGCCAUGAAAUUGGGCGCCAAGUGCAGUGUAAUUGAUUGAAAAAACUGACUUUUAUUUUAUUAUAAUGUGCUCACCGAAAGUAAUAAAAUAAACAUUAAAAACACUUUAGUAGCCAACGAACAUCGCGAUUAAUAGCCUAGUGUAGCGUUAAAUUUCUUAAUAAUAAAAUCACGAUACCAAGAAUUCGUAUUGGCUCUGCAUAUAUAUACCCCUGUGCAGCGGAACGCCGCUGCCAUUUUGCACCAGGACGCUUAAAUAAGAGUAAUUUACUAUCCCGUUGCUAUGCUUUGUACAAGGUCAUUGGUUUUAUCUCCACAGAGGAGUGUGGUUGGAACGUCAGUGUAUCGCGUUCAUUAAAACAUAAAAGUUCGUUGUUGCGACGAAAUCUUGGAAGCACAACAGGCUACUGUAUUUGGUAUAUAAUUUAUUGCUGAACAAGUCACUUUAGCAAAACAAAGGUCACUGUUCUUCAACGACUCACCCCAUACUCGCAUGACUCAUGAGAUAAAGCCUUCAUUAUAUUAAUUAUAUUUAUAAAAUUUUCAGAUCGGUAGUUCAGGCUCCACUGGCUGUACGUCAAUUAAAUUGGUAUUUCGCAACGCUCAUUUCUAUCGGCGCCUAAUUUAUUUAGACAUUUCAGAAUGAGCGGCAUGAGAAAACGGACAACUACGUUGACGUCUACUGAGUGCAAAGAAAUACAUGACCAGUGGAAGUGCAAAUCGGCUGAAG